CAGCAGCAGCCGCGGUAAUACCGAGGGUGCAAGCGUUGUUCGGAAUUAUUGGGCGUAAAGCGCGUGUAGGCGGCUUAGCAAGUCAGAUGUGAAAGCCCAUGGCUUAACCAUGGAAGUGCGUCUGAAACUGCUGAGCUUGAGUGCCGGAGAGGAUGGCGGAAUUCCGCAAGUAGAGGUGAAAUUCGUAGAUAUGCGGAGGAACACCGGUGGCGAAGGCGGCCAUCUGGACGGCAACUGACGCUGAGACGCGAAAGCGUGGGGAGCAAACAGGAUUAGAUACCCCUGUAGUCCCUGUCUCUUAUAU
rnacentral:rRNA from 1 species